GACCUGGACCAGAGCGAGUUGCGCCUUGCGCGCGGCCCACCUAAUUUUCCGUCGUCUCAGACGUAAUUUCGUCUCCUUUUUUACAACGACAGUUUCUUAGUCGAGCUAAACCCACUUUCCUCAAAUCGUGUGUGCGGUUCCGGAUUUUUGGUUCGGUGGAGCCGGGGUGGCCUGGCGAUUGGCGAGGAUAGGUGGUGCUGGCGGCGACGCCUAGGGAAGGAGCAGCCGGCGGUGGCGCGUGAGAGCAGGAGGAGCGGCGCACGGGGCGUGGCGGCGGCUGGCUACGCGGCAUGAUGGCUCGAGCCUGAGCGGCGCCGGCGCCGGCGCCGGUCGUUGGGGCGACGUCCACCUCCAUCCCCAUCUUCUCCUCCGCAGCUCAAAGCCUUGUCCGCUUCAGCGCUACCACGGAGCCGUGAUCCCCAGCGUCAAACAGGCCCCUCGCUAGCCUCCUCCUCCUGCUUCUUCCUCCUCCUCCUCCUUCUCUCUCUCCCUCUCCGGCGCGUGCGUGAACUGGAGAUGGAGAUGCUGCUCGUGCUGCUGCCGCCGCUUGGCUCCUCGGUAGCAGCAGCAGCCGCUCGGAUUCAGCCCUGAGAAAAAGCAGCCAUGAGAAAUAUUAUGUUGGAUGGAGUUGACUUGCACCUGUUCGACGGAAUGCUCGUGAGAGUGUUUUUUUUAGCAUAAUGCAGGUUUGUUCUUUACUUCCUUCUCUGCAAGAUUGAAACACUGACCAAUAAUACUAAGAUUUUAUUGUCUGGUCUGCAGAAGUAUUUAAUUUGAUGCCACUGUUUGAGCUUAUGAAAAAUUACAUAGUAGAGUUGGCGUGAUCAUAUCCUUUUUAAGUACGUUCAGGAUUGUACAUCCUCUGGAACAGAAAAUAAACAGGGAGAGGAAAUCAUGCACAUCCUCUUUUCUUAUUUGUAUUUGUCCUGCUUUUCUUUAGCUGAGGCUGAAAGCAAGCAUCUUUGUGGUCAUGUCUUAAUGUUCUAAUGCUCCCGCUUUCCUCUCAGAGUUUUCCUUAAAUCUUAUGGUAGCUUUUCACCUAAAGAUCAAAGUGUUCCUCUAUUAUUUAGACACAAACCAGUAAAGCUCAAAUGAUGUGAGUUAAUUAGGUCAAAAGCUGAACUGAUGUGAGUUCAUCAGGUGUUCCUGUUAGUUGGCUUGCCCAAUAGAUAUUAGUUUGCUUGCUCAACUGAAACAAAAGUUUGAUAAUUUGGGACUGGCAAAGGGGGACAUAUAUGAAGAUUCUAAUAUUUGUCUCAGCACAAAUAUAAGCAACAAGGUCUUAUCUCUUCCAUUAUUUUAUUCCUAUAUGAAGUUUGAGGUCUCUAGUUUCAACCUGAUGAAGGGUAGGGUGACUCGUUGUAGAAACUAGCAGACUUUGCUGGGUAAUUAGAAUUUGCAAUUUCGUCUCAAUGCAAACUACCAGACUCUAAACCCUGUCUAUUCCAGGAACUACAAAGAUUUGCUACAGGUGGUUUAGCACGUCAAGUAUUUGUGCAGAGAAAGAAGGCUAGGGGAGGAGGUUACAGUAAAAAUGUGCACUUGGCUUCCUUUAGUGUGCUCUAAGCUGUUUGUAGAAGGUAUUCUUGAUGCUUCUUUAAUGUGUGUUGUAGGAUAAUCAAAGUUUUCCUUCUUCCAGGCUCUAUUGUGCUUUUCAGAUCAUGUUAUCCUAUCUAAUGCCCGCUACAACUCCUAAUUAUCUGUCAUCUUGCCCUUUUUCUCGAUUGUUAGCAUGUGAUUCGUUAGUUUUCUUGUGAGUUCCUCCCUAUGUUGUCCUCUAAGAGAUUUCAUUUUGUGCACCGUAAGUCUUUGAUCGCGUACAUAUAUAAUUUGGAAUUUGAUUUAUUGCUAAUGGAAUAAUUGUUUUCAUAUGGUUGGACAUAACCAGGUUUAGCUUAAAUAAGGUGCUUGCAAGCUUACAACAAUGAUUUAUUUUGUGUUCCAAAAUUACAAUCUGUACUAAUCUAUUUGGAAAAAUUGGACUUUAACCUCUUUCCUUGUGGAUGUGUAUCAAAACUGACAGUUGACUGCUGAUACUAUGUUCAUGAAAUUAAGAGAGAUUGUAACGUUCGUUGGCUUUUCUUGAUUAUAAUACGAGCAUACUGGUGGUACCAGGUUUAUAUAAUAAUUCAUUAUUAAAUGGAAUUCUUGGAGUUUUUCCUUCAUACCAGGUUUAAGAACUCUUAUGCAUCGAAAUUCAGAGGAGAACACCUGCAUGGUGUGAUUGCAUUCUCUGGUACGGUGAUGGUCUCAUCAGCUAUUUUACGUUUGUGGAGAGUCUCAGCUUCUCCGACCAUACACCAGUAUACAGUAUUUUUAUGGCAGAGGUUGAGAUUGUCCACUAGAGGAAGAGAAACAUGGGCUAUUUUAGCUCUAGGAUUGAGGUGGAAGAGCUGUUACCACAUUCAGAGAGCUAAACUUCCUCUAAUUUUACUUGUGAGCAUGUUGUAAGGUUAGGAGGUGAAAAGUAUUUAUGUAUGGUUCAAGAAUCAAAGCACACUGGAUUAUCAGAUGAUGUUGGGCAAUUUUGCAGGCAGUCAUUGUGUCAGAUGGAGAGAAGUGUUACUGGCCUGAGGGAGGAACGAUGUGUCUGAAAGGGCUUGCAUAGUUACAAUCAUGUCUAUACCUUUCUUCUUCUGCUGUUGUAGUGCUUGAGCAGUUAAGUGAGGCAUGUGUUUUUUGUGCUCGUCGUUGUUGUGACAAAAGAAGAUUGGCUCCCUCCAUAAAGCUCCAGGAUUGCUUAAUUUGACCUCUGUAAUGAUGCUUGAAUUUUUUUUCGUUUGCCACUCUAUUUUGUUAAUCAAACAAGUUCCUGCGCGCGUCCA